rnacentral:tRNA from 2 species
AUGUAGCCAAGUGGAUCA